GACGAACGCUGGCGGCGUGCUUAACACAUGCAAGUCGAACGGUGAAGGGACUGGUUUUGCUGGUCCUGGAUGAGUGGCGAACGGGUGAGUAACACGUGAGUAACCUGCCCCCUUCUUCUGGAUAACCGCAUGAAAGUGUGGCUAAUACGGGAUAUUCUGGGUCUGUCGCAUGGUGGGCCUGGGAAAGAUUGCGCCUUUUUUGGUGUUUUUGGUGGGGGAUGGGCUCGCGGCCUAUCAGCUUGUUGGUGGGGUGAUGGCCUACCAAGGCGGUGACGGGUAGCCGGCCUGAGAGGGUGGACGGUCACACUGGGACUGAGACACGGCCCAGACUCCUACGGGAGGCAGCAGUGGGGAAUAUUGCACAAUGGGCGCAAGCCUGAUGCAGCGACGCCGCGUGAGGGAUGGAGGCCUUCGGGUUGUGAACCUCUUUCGCAAGUGAAGCAGGCCUGCCUCUUUUUGUGGGUGGGUUGACGGUAGCUGGAUAAGAAGCGCCGGCUAACUACGUG
rnacentral:rRNA from 1 species